rnacentral:rRNA from 1 species
AAGCAGUAAUGCAGUUAACACAUUAAUUGUGCCGCCUGGGGAGUACGGUCGCAAGAUUAAAACUCAAAGGAAUAGACGGGGACCCGCACAAGCGGUGGAGCAUGUGGUUUAAUUCGACGAUACGCGAAGAACCUUACCUGGCCUUGACAUAGAAAGAAUUUAGCAGAGAUGUAAAAGUGCUAGUUUACUAGAGCUUUCAUACAGGUGCUGCACGGCUGUCGUCAGCUCGUGUCGUGAGAUGUUAGGUUAAGUCCUGCAACGAGCGCAACCCUCGUGUUUAGUUACUAACAGAUUAUGCUGAGGACUCUAGACAUACUGCCUGGGCAACCAGGAGGAAGGUGAGGACGACGUCAAGUCAUCAUGGCCCUUACGGCCAGGGCUACACACGUGCUACAAUGGGGUAUACAAAGAGCAGCGAUACCGCGAGGUGGAGCAAAUCUCAUAAAAUAUCUCCCAGUUCGGAUUACACUCUGCAACUCGAGUGUAUGAAGUUGGAAUCGCUAGUAAUCGUAGAUCAGCAAUGCUACGGUGAAUACGUUCCCGGGUCUUGUACUCACCGCCCG